AACGUAGGAGCCAAGCGUUAUCCGAAUUCACUGGGCGUAAAGCGCGUGCAGGCGGCUGGGUAAGUUGGGUUUGAAAUCUCCUGGCUCAACUGGGAGAGGCGGCUCAAGACUACUCGGCUGGAGGGUAGGAGAGGGAGGUGGAAUUCCCGGUGUAGCGGUAAAAUGCGUAAAUAUCGGGAGGAACACCCGUGGCGAAAGCGGCCUCCUGGACUAUACCUGACGCUCAGACGCGACAGCCAGGGGAG
rnacentral:rRNA from 1 species